AUGCUUCCAUUUCACUUUUUGUUGCUACUGUAUUAUUUACGCAUAUUUGCUGUUCUGUCAAUAUGUGCAAGUGGGUCUGCAUUGGCAGCUAAAACACCCCUCCUCCAUGGAAUUAGCGGCACACUUAAAGAUAUCCUUUCAGGUUCUGGUUUGGUUGCUGGUACAACUGUAUCCCCCACUAGGUCAGCUGAUCAGGGUCCCUCGCCGCGCCGUGGAUACGGUGACCUCGUCGGAGCAGUGUGCGGACGAGCCACAAGCCGACGUAGACAGUUGCUCCUGUCACGCACACCGGCUGGUUCUGCUCUAGCGAGCCGCCGGCGUCGUUGCCCAUCUUGA
rnacentral:rRNA from 1 species